UAUUAAAGAAAAAGCCAACAAGAGGUGGAACCAAGUAUGAUAAACUCAAAUUGUACCAAGUGUGAUUAGUAGAACUAAUUAACAAAAAUUCAACUCUCAACAAUGCUAAGUGUCCAAGAAAGCUUACAUCUCAUCAACAUUAGGGUGGUAUAUUUUAUUCAGAAACCCAAUGGAAGGAGAUUUGUAUGGGUAAGCAUCUGGUAGCUCCACAUGGAUUUUCCAAACACCGCCUUCAUAAAGGCCUGCAGCCAAAGAGAUGUCAUAAAAACUUAGUGAUAAAGAAUAAAAUCUCACAUAACAAUGUCCAUUUCAAAUUUUAUUAGAGAUAAAAAAAAAAAGUAAAUAUAAGAAAAUAACUUUUUGCAGCAUUUAUACUAUAGGCACAACUCAGGUAAAAUAUCAGUAUGCCACAGUCCCCAAAUCUUGUCACCAUUCCUUCUUUGUACCUAACAUGCAUAUUUGUGCACAUAUAUGAAUUCACUCACACAACAUUUCACAUCAAAGAAAGCAGUUGUGUGGAAAGAGAAAUAGCAAAUUACUUUCUUUUGGC
rnacentral:misc_RNA from 1 species